UUGGAGGGCAAGUCUGGUGCCAGCAGCCGCGGUAAUUCCAGCUCCAAUAGCGUAUAUUAAAGUUGUUGCAGUUAAAAAGCUCGUAGUUGAACCUUAGGCCCGUGCGGGUGGUCCGUCCUCUGGGCGAGCACUGCGUCGUUGCGGGUCUCACCUUCUGGCGAGCGUGGAUGCCAUUCACUUGGUGUCCGCGGGAACCAGGACCUUUACCUUGAAAAAUUAGAGUGCUCAAAGCGGGCUCGUACGCUUGAAUACAUUAGCAUGGAAUAAUGAAAUAGGACGACGGUUCUAUUUUGUGGUUUCCGGGACAGUCGUAAUGAUUAAUAGGGAUAGUUGGGGGCAUUCGUAUUCAAUUGUCAGAGGUGAAAUUCUUGGAUUUAUUGAAGACGAACUACUGCGAAAGCAUUUGCCAAGGAUGUUUUCAUUAAUCAAGACGAAAGUUAGGGGAUCGAAGACGAUCAGAUACCGUCGUAGUCUUAACCAUAAACUAUAGCCGACUAGGGAUCGGAUGAUGUUAUUUUAA
rnacentral:rRNA from 1 species